rnacentral:rRNA from 1 species
UGGUGGAGUGAUUUGUCUGGUUAAUUCCGAUAACGAGCGAGACCUCAUCUUAUUAAUUAGUUGCUGGAAUCCUCUGAAUUCUAUGUAGCUUCUUAGAGGGACUAUCGGUUUGUCAGCCGAUGGAAGAUUGAGGCAAUAACA